rnacentral:rRNA from 2 species
CGCUGUGAAGAUGCAGUGUACCCGCGGCAAGACGGAAAGACCCCGUGAACCUUUACUAUAGCUUGACACUGAACAUUGAGCCUUGAUGUGUAGGAUAGGUGGGAGGCUUUGAAGCGUGGACGCCAGUCUGCGUGGAGCCGACCUUGAAAUACCACCCUUUAAUGUUUGAUGUUCUAACGUGGAUCCGUAAUCCGGGUUGCGGACAGUGUCUGGUGGGUAGUUUGACUGGGGCGGUCUCCUCCUAAAGAGUAACGGAGGAGCACGAAGGUUGGCUAAUCCUGGUCGGACAUCAGGAGGUUAGUGCAAUGGCAUAAGCCAGCUUGACUGCGAGCGUGACGGCGCGAGCAGGUGCGAAAGCAGGUCAUAGUGAUCCGGUGGUUCUGAAUGGAAGGGCCAUCGCUCAACGGAUAAAAGGUACUCCGGGGAUAACAGGCUGAUACCGCCCAAGAGUUCAUAUCGACGGCGGUGUUUGGCACCUCGAUGUCGGCUCAUCACAUCCUGGGGCUGAAGUAGGUCCCAAGGGUAUGGCUGUUCGCCAUUUAAAGUGGUACGCGAGCUGGGUUUAGAACGUCGUGAGACAGUUCGGUCCCUAUCUGCCGUGGGCGCUGGAGAACUGAGGGGGGCUGCUCCUAGUACGAGAGGACCGGAGUGGACGCAUCACUGGUGUUCGGGUUGUCAUGCCAAUGGCACUGCCCGGUAGCUAAAUGCGGAAGAGAUAAGUGCUGAAAGCAUCUAAGCACGAAACUUGCCCCGA